GGCCUGUUGGCGCAGUCGGAAGCACGCCCACGUAAUCUACACACUGUGGGCAUCAUCUUAUGCAGGAGGCCCCGGUUUGACCCCGGGACAGGUCA